rnacentral:rRNA from 1 species
UACGAAGGGGGCUAGCGUUGUUCGGAAUUACUGGGCGUAAAGCGCACGUAGGCGGACAUUUUAAGUCAGGGGUGAAAUCCCAGAGCUCAACUCUGGAACUGCCUUUGAUACUGGGUGUCUUGAGUAUGGAAGAGGUGAGUGGAAUUCCGAGUGUAGAGGUGAAAUUCGUAGAUAUUCGGAGGAACAUCAGUGGCGAAAGCGACUUCCUGGACCAAUACUGACGCUCAUGUGCGAAAGCGUGGGGAGCAAACAGG